rnacentral:rRNA from 1 species
AUUGAACGCUGGCGGCAUGCCUUACACAUGCAAGUCGAACGGUAACAGGCCGCAAGGUGCUGACGAGUGGCGAACGGGUGAGUAAUGCAUCGGAACGUGCCCAGUCGUGGGGGAUAACUGCUCGAAAGAGCAGCUAAUCCCGCAUACGACCCGAGGGCGAAAGCGGGGGACCGGAAGGCCUCGUGCGAUUGGAGCGGCCGAAGUCAGAUUAGCUAGUUUGUGGGGGAAAGGCCCACCAAGGCAACGAUCUGUAGUUGGUCUGGGAGGACGACCAGCCACACUGGGACUGAGACACGGCCCAGACUCCUACGGGAGGCAGCAGGGGGGAAUUUUGGACAAUGGGCGCAAGCCUGAUCCAGCCAUGCCGAGUGUGUGAAGAAGGCCUUCGGGUUGUAAAGCACUUUCAGUAGGGAGGAGGCGUUGUGUGUUAAUAGUACACAGCGUUGACGUUACCUACAGAAGAAGCACCGGCUAACUCUGUGCCAGCCGCCGCUGUAAGAC